rnacentral:rRNA from 1 species
UACGUAGGCAGCAAGCGUUGUUCGGAAUUACUGGGCGUAAAAGAGUGUGUAGGCGGGUUGUUCUAAGUUUGGUGAUGAAAUCGUCCCCGGCUCCAACGUGGGAGGGUGCGCCGAAAACUGGGAAUGCUAGAGUAUGGGAGAGGUAAGCGGAAUUCCUGGUGUAGCGGUGAAAUGACGUAGAUAUCAGGAGGAACACCUGUGGUGUAGACAGCUUACUGGACCAUACUGACGCUGAGACACGAAAGCGGUGGGUAGCAAACAGG